UACGUAGGGUCCGAGCGUUGUCCGGAAUUACUGGGCGUAAAGAGCUCGUAGGUGGUUUGUCGCGUUGUUCGUGAAAACUCACAGCUCAACUGUGGGCGUGCGGGCGAUACGGGCAGACUGGAGUACUGCAGGGGAGACUGGAAUUCCUGGUGUAGCGGUGGAAUGCGCAGAUAUCAGGAGGAACACCGAUGGCGAAGGCAGGUCUCUGGGCAUUAACUGACGCUGAGGAGCGAAAGCAUGGGGAGCGAACAGG
rnacentral:rRNA from 1 species